ACACGACCGUACCGCAAACCGACACUGGUGCGCGAGAUGAGUAUUCUCAGGCGCUUGAGAGAACUCGGGAGAAGGAACUCGGCAAAUUGACACCGUAACUUCGGAAGAAGGUGUGCCUUUAGUAGGUGAAGUCCCUCGCGGAUGGAGCCCAAUGAGGUUGCAAAGAAUCGGUGGCUGCGACUGUUUAAUAAAAACACAGCACUCUGCAAACACGAAAGUGGACGUAUAGGGUGUGACGCCUGCCCGGUGCUGGAAGAUUAAGUGAUGGGGUGCAAGCUCUUGAUCGAAGUCCCAGUAAACGGCGGCCGUAACGAUAACGGUCCUAGGGUAGCGAAAUUCCUUGUCGGGUAAGUUCCGACCUGCACGAAUGGCGUAACGAUGGCCACACUGUCUCCUCCCGAGACUCAGCGAAGUUGAAAUGUUUGUGAUGAUGCAAUCUCCCCGCGGAAAGACGGAAAGACCCCAUGAACCUUUACUGUAGCUUUGUAUUGGACUUUGAACGGAUCUGUGUAGGAUAGGUGGGAGGCUUUGAAGCCGGGUCGCUAGAUCUGGUGGAGCCAACGUUGAAAUACCACCCUGGUGCGUUUGAGGUUCUAACCUAGGCCCGUUAUCCGGGCCGGGGACAGUGCAUGGUAGGCAGUUUGACUGGGGCGGUCUCCUCCCAAAGCGUAACGGAGGAGUUCGAAGGUACGCUAGUUACGGUCGGACAUCGUGACGAUAGUGCAAUGGCAUAAGCGUGCUUAACUGCGAGACUGACAAGUCGAGCAGAUGCGAAAGCAGGACAUAGUGAUCCGGUGGUUCUGUAUGGAAGGGCCAUCGCUCAACGGAUAAAAGGUACUCUGGGGAUAACAGGCUGAUACCGCCCAAGAGUUCAUAUCGACGGCGGUGUUUGGCACCUCGAUGUCGGCUCAUCUCAUCCUGGGGCUGUAGCCGGUCCCAAGGGUAUGGCUGUUCGCCAUUUAAAGAGGUACGUGAGCUGGGUUUAAAACGUCGUGAGACAGUUUGGUCCCUAUCUUCCGUGGGCGCUGCAGAUUUGAGGAAGCCUGCUCCUAGUACGAGAGGACCGGAGUGGACGCACCUCUGGUGUACCUGUUGUCACGCCAGUGGCAUUGCAGGGUAGCUAAGUGCGGAAGAGAUAACCGCUGAAAGCAUCUAAGCGGGAAACUCGUUUCAAGAUGAGAUCUGCCGGGGCCUUGAGCCCCCUGAAGAGUCGUUCUAGACCAGGACGUUGAUAGGUCAGGUGUGGAAGCGCAGUAAUGCGUUAAGCUAACUGAUACUAAUUGCUCGUGCGGCUUGACC
rnacentral:rRNA from 1 species